rnacentral:tRNA from 1 species
GCCUUCUUGGUGUAACGGUUAGCACACUCGGCACGUAUUCGAGAGGUCCAGGUUCGAUUCCGGUGACGGCA